UGGGGAAUAUUGCACAAUGGACGAAAGUCUGAUGCAGCAACGCCGCGUGGAGGAUGACACAUUUCGGUGCGUAAACUCCUUUUAUAUAGGAAGAUAAUGACGGUACUAUAUGAAUAAGCACCGGCUAACUCCGUGCCAGCAGCCGCGGUAAUACGGAGGGUGCAAGCGUUACUCGGAAUCACUGGGCGUAAAGAGCGUGUAGGCGGAUAGUUAAGUUUGAAGUGAAAUCCAAUGGCUCAACCAUUGAACUGCUUUGAAAACUGAUUAUCUAGAAUAUGGGAGAGGUAGAUGGAAUUUCUGGUGUAGGGGUAAAAUCCGUAGAGAUCAGAAGGAAUACCGAUUGCGAAGGCGAUCUACUGGAACAUUAUUGACGCUGAGACGCGAAAGCGUGGGGAGCAAACA
rnacentral:rRNA from 1 species